rnacentral:rRNA from 1 species
UGGGGAAUAUUGCACAAUGGGCGCAAGCCUGAUGCAGCCAUGCCGCGUGUAUUAAGAAGGCCUUCGGGUUGUAAAGUACUUUCAGCGGGGAGGAAGGGAGUAAAGUUAAUACCUUUGCUCAUUGACGUUACCCGCAGAAGAAGCACCGGCUAACUCCGUGCCAGCAGCCGCGGUAAUACGGAGGGUGCAAGCGUUAAUCGGAAUUACUGGGCGUAAAGCGCACGCAGGCGGUUUGUUAAGUCAGAUGUGAAAUCCUCGGGCUCAACCUGGGAACUGCAUCUGAUACUGGCAAGCUUGAGUCUCGUAGAGGGGGGUAGAAUUCCAGGUGUAGCGGUGAAAUGCGUAGAGAUCUGGUGGAAUACCGGUGGCGAAGGCGGCCCCCAGGACGAAGACAGACGCUCAGGUGCGAAAGAGUGGGGAGCAAACAUG